rnacentral:rRNA from 1 species
GAUCCUAGCUCAGGAUGAACGCUAGCUACAGGCUUAACACAUGCAAGUCGAGGGGCAGCAUGGUCUUAGCUUGCUAAGGCCGAUGGCGACCGGCGCACGGGUGAGUAACGCGUAUCCAACCUGCCUUACACUCUUGGACAGCCUUCUGAAAGGGAGAUUAAUACAAGACGUUAUCAUGAGUAAGCAUUUUCGCAUGAUUAAAGGUUUACCGGUGUAAGAUGGGGAUGCGUUCCAUUAG